rnacentral:rRNA from 1 species
GACGAACGCUGGCGGCGUGCUUAACACAUGCAAGUCGAACGGAAAGGCCCUGCUUUUGUGGGGUGCUCGAGUGGCGAACGGGUGAGUAACACGUGAGUAACCUGCCCUUGACUUUGGGAUAACUUCAGGAAACUGGGGCUAAUACCGGAUAGGAUCUCCUGCUGCAUGGUGGGGGUUGGAAAGUUUCGGCGGUUGGGGAUGGACUCGCGGCUUAUCAGCUUGUUGGUGGGGUAGUGGCUUACCAAGGCUUUGACGGGUAGCCGGCCUGAGAGGGUGACCGGCCACAUUGGGACUGAGAUACGGCGCAGAAUCCAACGGGAGGCAGCAGUGGAGAAUAUUGCGCAGUAGGCGGAAGCCUGAUGCAGCAACGCCGCGUGCGGGAUGACGGCCUUCGGGUUGUAAACCGCUUUCGCCGGUGACGAAGCGUGAGUGACGGUAAUGGGUAAAGAAGCACCGGCUAACUACGUG